UAGGGAAUCUUCCGCAAUGGACGCAAGUCUGACGGAGCAACGCCGCGUGAGUGAAGAAGGAUUUCGGUUCGUAAAACUCUGUUGUUAGAGAAGAACAGCGCAUAGAGUAACUGUUAUGCGUGUGACGGCAUCUAACCAGAAAGCCACGGCUAACUACGUGCCAGCAGCCGCGGUAAUACGUAGGUGGCAAGCGUUGUCCGGAUUUAUUGGGCGUAAAGCGAGCGCAGGCGGUCAAUUAAGUCUGAUGUGAAAGCCCCCGGCUCAACCGGGGAGGGUCAUUGGAAACUGGUUGACUUGAGUGCAGAAGAGGAGAGUGGAAUUCCAUGUGUAGCGGUGAAAUGCGUAGAUAUAUGGAGGAACACCAGUGGCGAAGGCGACUCUCUGGUCUGUAACUGACGCUGAGGCUCGAAAGCGUGGGUAGCAAACAGG
rnacentral:rRNA from 1 species